GUGCUCAAUUUGCUUUGGCAGCACAUAUACUAAAAUUGGAACAAUACAGAGAAGAUUAGCAUGACCCCUGAGCAAUGAUGACACGCAAAUUUGUGAGGCCUUCCAUAUAAAU